rnacentral:RNase_P_RNA from 1 species
CAAGUAAAUCAGAUAAUCGCGUGAAAACGAGGAAAGUCCGUGCACCAUAGAGCGAGGAUGCUGGAUAACGUCCAGUGGAGGCGACUUCAAGGCUAGUGCAACAGAGAGAUACCGCCCAGCACUUAAUUUGUUAGGACCGGCUGUUAGGAAACGAAUAUGCGUAUUGUGGCGACUAGGAAGACGCCGUCGGUACUAAGAAAUUAAGUGCUGGGUAAGGGUGGAAAGGUGGGGUAAGGGCCCACCGGCGAACUGGCGACUGUUCGGCCAUGUAAACCCCAUCCGGUGCAAAAUCAAAAGCGGACCAAAUAGCGGCUGCUCGUCGUGGUCCGAGAGGUAGAUUGCUUGAGCUUACUGGCAACUGUAAGCCUAGAUAGAUGAUUAUCAAAUACAGAACACGGCUUAUAGAUUUACUUACCAU